rnacentral:misc_RNA from 1 species
GAUGAAGAACGCAGCGAAAUGCGAUAAGUAAUGUGAAUUGCAGAAUUCAGUGAAUCAUCGAAUCUUUGAACGCACAUUGCGCCCGCCAGUAUUCUGGCGGGCAUGCCUGUUCGAGCGUCAUUUCAACCAUCAAGCCCCAGGCUUGUGUUGGAGCCCUGCGGCUGCCGCAGCCUCCCAAAACCAGUGGCGGGCUCGCUAUCACACCGAGUGCAGUAGUUUACUCUUCGCUCAGGGCGUGUGGCGGGUGCUAGCCGUGAAACCCCCAACUUCUCAAGGUUGACCUCGGAUCAGGUAGGAAUACCCGCUGAACUUAAGCAUAUCAUAAGCGGAGGA